AUUGAACGCUGGCGGCAGGCCUAACACAUGCAAGUCGAACGAGUGGCGGACGGGUGAGUAAUGUCUGGGAAACUGCCCGAUGGAGGGGGAUAACUACUGGAAACGGUAUCUAAUACCGCAUACCCUCGGAUGUGCCCAGAUGGGAUUAGGUAGUAGGUGGGGUAACGGCUCACCUAGGCGACGAGCCCUAGCUGGGUUGAGAGGAUGACCAGCAACACUGGAACUGAGACACGGUCCAGACUCCGACGGGAGGCAGCAGUGGGAAAUAUUGCACAAGGGGCGCAAGCCUGAUGCAGCCAUGCCGCGUGUAUGAAGAAGGCUUUCGGGUUGUAAAGUACUUUCAGCGAGGAGGCGUUACUCGCAGAAGAAGCACCGGCUAACUCCGUGCCAGAAGCGGCGGUGAUUC
rnacentral:rRNA from 1 species